ACCCUACCUCCUCCUCGUCCUCAUACGCCGCCGCCCCUCGCAAGGAGACUAGGAGAGGAACAGCGACCGCGUCGGCGUCGCCCCCUCCCUUUUCUCCACCGCCGUCCUAGAUUCUACCUCGCGAGCUAAAUACCCUCAUCUUCUCUAACUCCAUGCCGCCGCGCACCUCUCCCAUCGUGACCCGCGGCAGAAGCGCCGCCGUGCCAAUAUGCUGAGAUGGACGGCUUCGGCGGCGGCGCACGUGCGUUCUGGGGUGGACCAGUUCAGGGGUCCGCCAGAUCUAGCCUCGGGGUCGCCGGAUUUGGCCACCGGCCACGCCUCCUCUCUCUAUUUCCCUUCCAACCCUACUCUCUCUCAGUCUUCUCUUUCUCUCUCUUUGUGCAGGCACUGGGACAUGAGGAUCGAGCCUCGCCGGAGCGUGGACGGGAACUGACGGCAUGCGUUCGCGAAGUUGGACAAGGAACCGGCGGCGGCGCUCGUCGCGCGAGAUCCACAUCUCGAGCCGACGCGCCCGACCCCUAUCUUGCUCCCCAGGAUCGAAGCUUGCCUGCCCCUAACUCUACAGGAAGUUGACCGGCAAACGCUGCUCCCGGGGGACGAUCGUAGAGGUUGACCUCCGCUCGCUCGAUUCAUGUGAGUUGCCCGGUGCACAUGCAUGAGUGCUGUUCAGGAUAUGGUCUCCGUCUCGGCAGUAAAUGAUUGAAUCAGCUUUUAACUUGCAAGAGGAUCAUGCCUAAAUAAGGAUGUGCUAUUUUGGAUACAGUGGUAGGUUUGCUUAGUGAAGUGGGUAUUCAAAGGAAAGCAUGCCAAAGAUCAGGUUCUGCGGUAUGCAGACCAAGGCUGUGGAGUUGUACCUGUGGCUGGUCAGCAUGAUGAAGGAUGAUGUUCUGUGCCAUGUUCUCUUCAUUGAGGGGUCCGAGGCCUACUACAAGGCUCUACAGGUAGACAGAUUGAUGGACAUUGCAUAAUGUUUAGAAGGCUCGUGCCGUCAUGUGCAUGAUACACAUGUUUUUUCUAAUCGCUGAGGUACUUUGUAUACACUGGAUUCUUCCCAAGUCAAUGUGGAGUGAUCAAGAGUAGUAUGAUAGAGCUCAAGGUUGAGGAAGCUCAAAGAGAAGUCUCAGCAAAGAAAUGCUAGCUAGUUAUUGCCCAGAGCAGUUAUAAUUUGAUAGCUAGGACAUCUGUACAUGGGAUACGUAGUGUGGAGAUAUUGUAAUUGAAUUAACUAUGGCCGCAAGAGAUCUUUCUUCGUAUU